CCCUUAGAUGUUCUGGGUUGCACGCGUGCUACACUGAUAUUGCCAAUAUGUCAUUCUUAUCCGAAAUGGAUUGGGUAAUCAAGUAAUGAAAUUUCAUGCUUGGAAUCGGUAAUUGCAAUUUUAUCGUGAACGAGGAAUUCCUAGUAAGCACUAGUCAUCAGCUAAUGUUGAUUAUGUCCCUGCCCUUUGUACACACCGCCCGUCGCUACUACUGAUUGGGUGUUCAAGUGAGAUGCUUAGACCCUUGUUGCAUGGUUCAUUAUUGUGCUCCGAAAGGAAAAAGUUUCAAGCUUGAGUGUCUAGAGGAAGUAAAAGUCGUAACA
rnacentral:rRNA from 1 species